UUAAAUUUUAUUUAUUAAUAUUGUUAUUGAUUGAUUUAAAUUAUUAAAAAUAAUUAUAAAAAAAAAUGUUUUAGUAUUGUUUAAAGAAAAAAUAAUUUUAAUAAUAGUGAAUUAGUAUUGUAAAAGAAAAUUGAAAUAAUUUGAAAAAAUAUUAUUAUAAAAGAAAAUUUAAUUUAUUGUACCUU
rnacentral:rRNA from 1 species